AUGGAGGAUCGAAGGAAGAAUGGAUUCUUACCAUGUUUCCAAACCUUUAAAGUGUGCUAUAGCCUGUCUUUGCUGAAAACAAAGAGGAAAGACUUUGAAAUCGACGACGAACGCCGGACUGGACCUGCACUUGACCCAAACAUCAUACAAGACUCAAUCCAACUAUGCUGCAUGAGAAGAUCAGUAGAAAAUAGUCUGUCCUUGACCAUGUCAGAUAGUGGCUCCACUCUUCUGGUCGGCCAGACUUUGUCUCACGGGAAUAACCCCAUGACUGGUAAGGAGGACAAUGACGCUCAGGAGUUCUUCACGUGCAUCGUCCACUCCUCUCGUCGACUAGGAUAUGCCCUCCGAGAACAACCUCACGACUGGCGAGGAGGACCAACGACAGUCAGGAGGACCUCGUGA